GCCCCUGGUGAUUGAUUAGCAAAAGCCCAGGGACACACAUCCUCAGCUCGGACAGACUCUGCAGACCAUCUGGAAACAGAUGAUGCUUAAUAAUGCAGAAUAAUAAAAUCAGCUAAGUUCCCAUUUACAAAUGAAAUAAAUGGAAGAAUUAAUGAUUACACUGAUGCAAUAAGACAGUUUCACACCAAUAAGAGCUCACUAAGUGGUAUUCUCAGCUCUGUCACCCCCGCAGCUAUAACCAAAGAAAUGAAAAGGUAAGAAAGAUAAAGCAAAAAUCAGGGGUCACCUGCUAUGCAGAGAUUUCUGUGCUGGGUUAGAAGCAGCAGCAGCUUUCCUGGAUUUGUCAUAUUGGAAGCAGAAGAAUUUUAUCAGCCAUCCAAGAAAUGUGUUCCUGCUACCCCAGCAUAUUCUCCUAGUUCUAAAGUUACGUCUAACACCAUUUCUCUUUCUUUUGUGUCAAUCAAAUAUCUAACAAACCUAUAUUGGUGUGGCUAGCCUUAUGCCGU
rnacentral:lncRNA from 1 species